rnacentral:lncRNA from 1 species
AGGAUAUUGCAUUAAAUAUCUUUGCUAAUUAAUUAAUCAAAACCUACACAAGCAACAAGCAUUUGAGCAAAAAUAUCUUAAAUUUUCUUUUCAGUGUUUUCAGAAGAAGCAUCAUGAUUUUAUUAAUUUAUUUAGUUGGUAGAAAAGUGUAGCAGUGCAAUGAGAAUGCACAGUGGAUGUUGUUCCUUUUAGCGAAAUCACACAUUUCUUAAUAGUGAAAAGUGAAAAACCACAAAGGUACAGAUAAGAAAGAAACCAAAAAAGCUGUUAGAUGUCAUUAUCAAUGGUUUCAAAAAGUUGUGGGUAGAAGAUAUGGCAAUUGAGAGUUACUUCUGUUUCUUCCACCACCUUAAUCAUACCUCAUCCC